UACGUAGGGUGCAAGCGUUGUCCGGAAUUAUUGGGCGUAAAGGGCUCGUAGGCGGUCCAUCGCGUCGGGAGUGAAAAGCUGGGGCUUAACCCCAGUCCUGCCUCCGAUACGGGUGGACUAGAGGUAGGUAGGGGAGAACGGAAUUCCUGGUGUAGCGGUGAAAUGCGCAGAUAUCAGGAAGAACACCCGUGGCGAAGGCGGCUCUCUGGGACGGUACUGACGCUGAGACGCGAAAGCGUGGGGAGCGAACAGG
rnacentral:rRNA from 1 species